GCCCGGGUAGCUCAAUUGGCUAGAGCGUGUGACUUUUACUUAAAAGAAAGCCUUUUUAGGCCUACUACAAAAGUUCCCAUCACAAGGUUGGGGGUUCGAGACCCCCUUCGGGCG